rnacentral:rRNA from 1 species
CCUACGGGGGGCAGCAGUGGGGAAUAUUGGACAAUGGGGGCAACCCUGAUCCAGCCAUGCCGCGUGUGUGAAGAAGGCCCUCGGGUUGUAAAGCACUUUCUGUGAGGAAGAACGCCUGGUGGUUAAUACCCAUCAGGAAAGACAUCACUCACAGAAGAAGCACCGGCUAACUCCGUGCCAGCAGCCGCGGUAAUACGGAGGGUGCGAGCGUUAAUCGGAAUUACUGGGCGUAAAGCGCGCGUAGGUGGCUUGAUAAGCCGGUUGUGAAAGCCCCGGGCUCAACCUGGGAACGGCAUCCGGAACUGUCAAGCUAGAGUGCAGGAGAGGAAGGUAGAAUUCCCGGUGUAGCGGUGAAAUGCGUAGAGAUCGGGAGGAAUACCAGUGGCGAAGGCGGCCUUCUGGACUGACACUGACACUGAGGUGCGAAAGCGUGGGUAGCAAACAGGGUUAGAUACCCGGGUAGUC